rnacentral:rRNA from 1 species
AACGAACGCUGGCGGCGUGGAUAAGACAUGCAAGUCGAACGGGACAGACCGAGUAGCAAUAUUUGGAAUGUUCAGUGGCGAACGGGUGCGUAACACGUGGAUAACAUUCCGGAAAGCGGGGAAUAGCCCAGGGAAACUGGGAUUAAUACCGCAUGUGGCCGCAAGGCUAAAGACGGGAACCGCAAGGCCUGUCACUUUCCGAUUGGUCCGCGGCCUAUCAGCGAGUUGGCGGGGUAAUGGACCACCAAGGCUACGACGGGUAGCUGGUCUCAGAGGACGCCCAGCCAAACUGGAACUGGGAGACGGUCAGGACACGUACGGGUGGCAGCAGUAGAGAAUAUUUCACAAUGGUGGCAACCCUGAUGGAGCGACGCCGCGUGGAGGAUAAGGUCUUCGGAUUGUAAACUCCUGUCAUGCGAGAACAAGGUACUCAGGCUAAUAACCUGAUUGUUUGAUGGUACCGCAAGAGGAAGAGACGGCUAACUCUGUGCCAGCCGCCGCAGUAAAAC